UACGUAGGUGGCAAGCGUUGUCCGGAAUUACUGGGCGUAAAGCGUGCGCAGGCGGUUCGUUGUGUCGGUGGUGAAAUCCCCGGGCUUAACCUGGGAAUGGCCAUGGAAACUGGCGAACUGGAGUGCGGCAGAGGGGGGUGGAAUUCCGCGUGUAGCAGUGAAAUGCGUAGAGAUGCGGAGGAACACCGAUGGCGAAGGCAGCCCCCUGGGCUAGCACUGACGCUCAGGCACGAAAGCGUGGGGAGCAAACAGG
rnacentral:rRNA from 1 species